CGCAAGCCUGACGGAGCAACGCCGCGUGAGGGAGGAAGGCCUGUGGGUUGUAAACCUCUUUUCUCUGGGAAGAAGACCUGACGGUACCAGAGGAAUCAGCAUCGGCUAACUCCGUGCCAGCAGCCGCGGUAAGACGGAGGAUGCAAGCGUUAUCCGGAAUUAUUGGGCGUAAAGCGUCCGCAGGCGGCCAAUUAAGUCUGCUGUCAAAGCCUAGGGCUCAACCCUAGAUCGGCAGUGGAAACUGGUUGGCUAGAGUACGGUAGGGGUAGAGGGAAUUCCCAGUGUAGCGGUGAAAUGCGUAGAUAUCAGGAAGAACACCAGUGGCGAAGGCGCUCUGCUGGGCCAUAACUGACGCUGAUGGACGAAAGCUAGGGGAGCG
rnacentral:rRNA from 1 species